rnacentral:rRNA from 1 species
CCCCUAGAUGUUCUGGGCCGCACGCGCGCUACACUGAACAGUUCAACAAGUCUUAACCUUGGCCGAUAGGUCUGGGUAAUCUUUGAACGCUGUUCGUGAUUGGGAUAGACCUUUGCAAUUAUGGGUCUUCAACGAGGAAUUCCUAGUAAACGCAAGUCAUCAGCUUGCAUUGAUUACGUCCCUGCCCUUUGUACACACCGCCCGUCGACUCUACCGAUUGAAUGGUUCGGUGAAAACUUUGGACUGUGGCAUUGUCCUUCAUUGGACUUCGCCGUAGGAAAUUGUUUAAACCUCAUCAUUUAGAGGAAGAAUAAGUCGUAACA